GCUCUCUCAUUAACAUCCCGCUCCCGGUGGCGCAGGGGAGCCGGCCAAAGUUCCUUGCAAAGUGGCGAGCGAGGGAGCGCUGAGCACUGGCGUCUGGGCUGGGGAGGAGCGGGUCCGAGCGAGGACGGAGAGGGGACAGAGGGAAAGGGAGGCGGGUGUCUUCCCCAGGAAUUUGAGCUUGGGGUCUGCAUCCUGGCCAUUGCAGUCCUUUAGCAUACUCGCCGCGCCCUGAGCGCGCUGGAGGCUCGCAGGCUGCGCCCUCCCAGGGCUGAUGCCGCGUCCUGCUCCGCUGUUCUGGGACGUCGGGGACAAAAGUGGAGGAGACGGGAGAGCCCGGGCAGAAAAAGCAGGACGCGCGUCCCAGCAAAACCCUGAGGAAAGCACCAAUAUUGAUUCCCAUUUUGCAGAUGAAGAAACUGAGGUUAGAGAAAGUGCAUAGAAGGAUGGAAGUAUUCUGACCACUCUGCAUUUAGCUGUGAUCCUGUGAUUUAAUCUGGCAAAUAACGUAUUAGCAGAAGUGAGAUGUGUCACUUACAGGCAGAACCAUGAAGAGCCAGUGUGCAGUUUACCAAAUCCCUUUCCCGGUGGCACAGCUGUUGCUGCCCCCCAGAUGGAGUUUCCAUCAGCAUCCCACCCCUGGCACAGACGUGUGGAGUGGAGACCUCUCCAACACCCAUAGAUAUUUAGCAAGAAUGAGAAAUAAUCCUUUGUUACUGUAAAUCCCAGAGAUUUUUCUGUACUUCAGUAUAACCUAGCCGCUCCUGACUAAUACACUUAGAAAGGAAACUCAUCUUUUCUUUUCUUUUUGGGAGACAAUUUGAAAAUUCUUCUCCUAGAGUGAAAAGUAGACUUGUGUGUCUAAUUAAAUAAAAUAAUCAGAUAAUGAAAUCAUUCAACUAGAAAUCUGAAUCUAUUUUCUUAAUCUAUUCAUACAUUUCCCCAGGGUCAAAACAUCCGGAACCCUCUGAAAUAAGGAAAACAACUAAAUUUUACAAAUACUUAAAAGGAAUCUCAGAAUUAUUGUUAGACCUCGACAAGAAUAUUCAGUGUGUCCUUAGUCCACUUGCAGAUACAUCAUGAAGUGAGUUACACAGGGUUAGAUUAGAAAAGACUUUAUUAGCAAUUGGCCAGGCAAGG